GACCGUUGAUGCACUUUACUGUGUGUCGCGGUAAAGGGCCACUGUCACUUUGAGAAAUUCAGUGUGCUCAACGCAAGCUUUACGCUUGAAUAAUGCUGCAUGGGAUGACGAAAGAAGGCCUCGGCUCCGUUUCGUUGGUCUACGAAAGCGAAGGUCAUGAUUAAUCGGGACAGACGGGGGCAUUCGUAUUGCGGUGCUAGAAGUGAAAUUCUGUGACCAUCGCAAGACGAACAACUGCGAAAGCAUUUGCCAAGAAUGUUUUCAUUAAUCAAGAACGAAAGUUAGAGGAUCGAAGACGAUUAGAUACCGUCCUAGUUCUAACUGUAAACUAUGCCAACCGGGCAUUCGCCAACGCUUUAUCUUGGCGAGCACCCUCCGGGAAACCAAAGUUAUUUGGUUCCGGGGAGAGUAUGGUUGCAAAGUCGAAACUUAAAGGAAUUGACGGAGGGGCACACCAGAAGUGGAGCCUGCGGCUCAAUUUGACUCAACGCACGAAAGCUUACUCGGUCCGAACACUGCGAGGAUUGACAGGUUGAAAGCUCUUUCUUGAUUCAGUGGGUAGCGGUGCAUGGCCGUUCGUAGUUGGUGAAGUGAUUUGUCUGGUUUAUUCCGAUAACGAACGAGACUCUAGCCCACUAAUUAGCGUGGCAAUCGAACGUUGCCACUAUGCUUCUUAGAGGGACAGGUGCUGCUUAAGCACACGAAAUUGAGCAAUAACAGGUCUGUGAUGCCCUUCGAUGUUCGAGGCUGCACGCGCGCUACAAUGGAGGGCGCAGAGUGCACGGCGCUUCCUGUGAAGGAUGCGGAAUCGUGAAUUGCCUCCAUGACUGGGAUCGGGGAUUGAAAUUGUUCCUCGUGAACGAGGAAUUCCUAGUAAGCGCG
rnacentral:rRNA from 1 species